rnacentral:rRNA from 1 species
CCUACGGGGGGCAGCAGUGAGGAAUAUUGGUCAAUGGGCGCGAGCCUGAACCAGCCAAGUCGCGUGAGGGAGGACGGCCCUACGGGUUUUAAACCUCUUUUGCCGGGGAGCAAAGGGCGCCACGUGUGUCGUCACUGACAGUACCCGGAGAAAAAGCAUCGGCUAACUCCGUGCCAGCAGCCGCGGUAAUAAGUAGGUGGCAAGCGUUAUCCGGAUUUACUGGGUGUAAAGGGAGUGUAGGCGGGUUGGCAAGUCAGAUGUGAAAAUUAUGGGCUCAACCCAUAACCUGCGUCUGAAACUGCAGAGCUUGAGAGUAGGAGAGGUAAACGGAAUUCCCGGUGUAGCGGUGAAAUGCGUAGAUAUCAGGAGGAACACCAGUGGCGAAGGCGGUUUACUGGACCGCAACUGACGCUGAGACACGAAAGCGUGGGGAGCAAACAGGAUUAGAUACCCCUGUAGUC